CGCCGGAUAGCCCAGCGGCAAGAGCAGAGGACUGAAAAUCCUCGUGUCACAGUUCAAAUAA
rnacentral:tRNA from 1 species